rnacentral:rRNA from 1 species
GAUGAACGCUGGCGGCGUGCCUAAUACAUGCAAGUCGAGCGAACAGACGAGGAGCUUGUGCCUUUGACGUUAGCGGCGGACGGGUGAGUAACACGUGGAUAACCUACUUAUAUUUCUGGGAUAACUUCGGGAAACCGGAUCUAAUACCGGAUAAUAUAUUGAACCGCAUGGUUCAAUAGUGAAUGACGGCUUUGCUGUCACUUAUAGAUGGAUCCGCGCCGCAUUAGCUAGUUGGUAAGGUAACGGCUUACCAAGGCAACGAUGCGUAGCCGACCUGAGAGGGUGAUCGGCCACACUGGAACUGAGACACGGUCCAGACUCCUACGGGAGGCAGCAGUAGGGAAUCUUCCGCAAAGGACGGAAGCCUGACGGAGCAACGCCGCGUGAGUGAUGAAGGUCUUCGGAUCGUAAAGCUCUGUUAUUGGGGAAGAACAAAUGUGUAAGUAACUAUGCACGUCUUGACGGUACCUAAUCAGAAAGCCACGGCUAACUACGUG